rnacentral:piRNA from 1 species
CUCCACCAAAAUGGAUUUGCCAGU